rnacentral:rRNA from 1 species
UGAGGAAUAUUGGUCAAUGGACGCAAGUCUGAACCAGCCAAGUCGCGUGAGGGACGACUGCCCUAUGGGUUGUAAACCUCUUUUGUAUGGGGGGAAUAAGCUUUACGAGUAGAGUGAUGACAGUACCAUACGAAUAAGCAUCGGCUAACUCCGUG